GUGAGCGUGGAUGGGCGUAGUCGUGGCGUGAAGCGCGCAGGAGUUUGUGUCCACGCUCAGAUUGUGUGUCUCGUGAGCUGUCACUGAGUUGAGAGACGCGUCGCGGUGAGGAGAGCUAUAGCCGAGACUAAAUCACAGCACUUCUGCUGAGAAAAUGGGUGAGGAGGGGCCGCCCAGCCUGGAGUACAUUCAGGCCCGGGACCUGUUCCCCCAGAAAGAG
rnacentral:lncRNA from 1 species